AUUCACUCACCCAAGCCCAUUCAUCCUCUUUAGCAAACCAUCAAAGCAAUUAAAACCAAAGUCAAUUUUGCCUCUUCAGCUCUCUUUCAAACCCGAAAACACCAAAGUCUUUUCUUCCUCUUUAGCACUAUUCUUUGUUUACGUCUAAUAAAUCCCCCUACAACAUAUCCUCUCGCAAGCUGGCAACGGAAGCUUCAAGAUUAUUGUUCCGCAAGCAGACAACAACGUUGUUCAAAGAAGGUCUCAUGGAACAGCUAGGGCUUCUAUUUUUAUGGGCUUUGGGGAUCUACAAACCAACAUGAUAAGUUAUGCAGCAAAAAUACCGGCAAAAGAAGGAAAAUGCGAGUUAAUUCGUGUGAUAGGAUACAACUCCGUUCAUGUCAUCUAGCCGGCUGUUCCCCCUUCAUGACGGCAAGAACAAGCAUUAUUCAUUUUGAAAACUUCUAUUUUCAUUUCUGCAAAUUGUGUACUUGACCUUUUUUUAUUAGUUUCCAUAGAGCAACCUUUGCCUCAUCUAGUGUU